rnacentral:ncRNA from 2 species
ACUAAUAUAGAAAAUUCAGGUAUCGGAGCAUGUGUGCUUCGGUUUAAAAAGGAAGCAGGUGCAAUUCCUGCACGGUCCCGCCGCUGUGAUGGGGAGAUGUUUCGUUAAGGUCACUGGUUUAGUCUGGGAAGGUGCGAAACAUUGAUGAUCCAGAGUCAGAAGACCUGCCUGUAUUUUAUACACCAA